CCCAGCCUCGCGUGCGGCCUCUGCCGCAUCCUGUCCUGGGACCCGGCAGCCGCCCGAGGAAGGAAAAGCUGAGGCCAGGCUCUCCCCUCCCUUGACUGAUGGGCGAAAGGCCGGAGCUGGAGCUGCGCCAUGGCGGAGGCCCCUGCCGCCCACCCUUCACCGCAGCUGCCAGUAACCUAGCGAGCCGCCCGGCACGCAGCCGAGGCUCUGCAAGGGUUAACCACCGAGGCUGGCCGCCCGAGGGUGGGGUGGUGGUGUGCGCGGAGAAAUCGGGCUGUGUCCUGGGGUGUGGCCAGAAACAAAGGAUCCCUGGUCUUUAUGCUUUGUCUCGGCGGGGAGUUGUGGGCAUCGAGAUGGGGAGCUGCCACCUCCGCCACCCUCCCUGCUAGAUCCUCUUCAGAAGAUAGUGUUUUCACGAAGCACGCAUGACUGGAAGAUGUGCUGGGGAUCCAGGUCCUGCCCCUCAGGGUACCUGUGUCCUAGGUAGAAGCUGAACAGAUGGUCUUAGAGGUAGGUCUGUGGACAGAGUGCCCCGGAGUCUGUUCUGUGGUUUCAGUCUGUUCAGCUGUGACCC